UACGUAGGGGGCAAGCGUUGUCCGGAUUUAUUGGGCGUAAAGAGCUCGUAGGCGGUUUGUCGCGUCUGCCGUGAAAGUCCGGGGCUCAACUCCGGAUCUGCGGUGGGUACGGGCAGACUAGAGUGAUGUAGGGGGAGACUGGAAUUCCUGGUGUAGCGGUGAAAUGCGCAGAUAUCAGGAGGAACACCGGUGGCGAAGGCGGGUCUCUGGGCCGAUACUGACGCUGAGGAGCGAAAGCGUGGGGAGCGAACAGG
rnacentral:rRNA from 1 species